UACGUAGGGGGCAAGCGUUGUCCGGAUUUACUGGGUGUAAAGGGUGCUCAGGCGGGUUUGUAAGUCAGUGGUGAAAUCCCGGGGCUUAACUCCGGAACUGCCAUAGAAACUGCAAGCCUAGCGUACGGAAGAGGUUGACGGAAUAUCUGGUGUAGCAGUGAAAUGCGUAGAUAUCAGAUAGAACACCAAUGGCGAAGGCAGUCAACUGGUCCGUUACUGACGCUAAAGCACGAAAGUGUGGGGAGCGAACAGGAUUAGAUACCCUGGUAGUCCACACCCUAAACGAUGAGUACUAGACGUUGGGCCUUUUAAGGUUCAGUGUCUGAGCUAACGCAUUAAGUACUCCACCUGGGAAGUACGAUCGCAAGGUUGAA
rnacentral:rRNA from 1 species